CGAAUCCACCGCCUCCGAGAUCUCUCUGGUACCCAUCCCUGAAGCCCUAAACCACGAAUCUACCGCCUCUGAGAUCUCUCUGGUACCAAUCCCUGAAUAAUCCACGAUUUGUCUUAGAAUCUGGAAUUGGGUAAGAGUUCAGCAGACUUUGCGCAAUUUUGGCUUUUAGGCGUGAUUGCAGAAGUGCUUACUGACAUCAAAUAUGAGGCAGAUGUGUAUAUAUUCGGUGGUUGCAUUAAGUCAUGGAAAAACCUCUGUUUUGUGAGACCUGAUGCUGUGUUUAAUGGGAAGAAACCGAUCAGGUUGUUUCAGAUUUGUGUGUGCAUUUUUGGCUUUGAUUUUGAAUUUUUUGAAAGUUUCGGAGUUGGAUUUGAAUCUUGAGUACAAGCCAGAUGUCAGGGAAGACUUAGAGGCUGUGGGGAAGAAACUUGAAGAAUGCACCGAAAGGUGUUCGUGAAAAUGCCCCAGAGAAAAGCUCAUAAGUUACUAUGCAGGGUAUCUGAAAUCUUGCGAUAGCUCUAUUGAUCUUGUUAAUGUCCUGAAGCAUGAGAUUCAAGAUGGGCAACUGAGCUUUAGAGGAAAAAGGGUACUUAAGCUGGGUUGUAGCUAUGGCCUUCGAGGAAUUUUUGCUUGUUUGAAGGUAUUUAAGUCCCCAAGUACCCAUCAUGCCUCUGGAUCCUACCCUAUAGAAUGCUAUGGUCCUAAUUGAUUGAUUUAAUUCAAGAAAGAUGGUGAAGAAGAUGAUCCAAAUGGAAGCAAUGCGAACAGUGCCACCUGUGGAACUUGGUGGCAAGGUUCUCUCUAUUAUUAGGACCUUGCCCUUCCCUGACCAUGAACUCUUCAUUUAUUUGUGGUUAUGCUUUGCAUUGUUCCUUCUAAAUAUAUGUCUAGUAUCUAAGAUUUUGCAUUGAGUUUGUUGCUUUUUUUUUUUGGUAGUAAUUCAUGCUUGUAUGGCAUCUCCGCCACUUACUUCAUGGACUAUUAAGCAUUUUCUAAUGCUUUUAAGCAUUUGACUUUAUAAGAUCAACUUUCCCGUGUAAUUAUUAAUAUUACACGGGAAAGUAUCAGCUAGCAUCACUAUGAACAACAAUAAUGUUAAAAGACUCCUCCAAUGGAGGGGAAGUCACUUGAGAUGUUGGGAUGAGGCAGCGCUUCAACUAAUCUUUAUUCUUUAAGCCAUUCCUUUCCGUCCAAUUUGGAAUUACAGGGAAAUUGAUUGUUAUAUAUCUACGGAUCUAUCUGCAUGGUAAUGUGACGUGCACUCUGCAUGUAGAAUAUACAUGUGCACUGCAUAUAUUAAUUAUUUAUGGCAAUGGUAGUUGUAAUUAAGUUUGAUAAUAUACAUAUGCACUCUGCAAGUCUGCAUAUGAUAGAGCAGAUUCAUAACUCUGUCCAUGUAUCCGUAUAUGGACUAUUACAAAGCUAAUGCAUGUAUAAAGCCAUGAACCAUAAUAGUAAUUGCUAUCUCCCUUUUAGAAUAGACUGUAUGGACUUUUACUUUGUUCUUUUCCCUUUCUGGAAAUCAUCUUUUCAAGUGCAGAAGGCUAGCACUAGUUUAUUCUGCUGUCUUUUGUAUAUUUGGAUGCUAAUAUCUCUAUAUUACGGAUAUUCAAAUGUUGAUUUCAUAUUGUUGUCCUGCGAAGGCUGGCACUAGUUUAUUUUGUUGUCUUUUGGAUUAUCACAAGUUAAAAUUUUAUGUAGAUCAGUGCAUACCACAAACUGUUUCUUAAUCUAUAGAUGCACAAUUCCAGCAAUCUACAUUGCUAUGAGAACCUUGGAGGUAAAAGGAAAAUGUGACAAUUCAGUAUCCUUUUGAGGCAUGAAGUUUGAUGUGGUGGUUUUGUUCUGCAGGGAGAAGUGGAAACCUAUCUUUAAAAAGCACAUUUCUGGCCAAGUUUGUCGUGGUGGUUUUGUUCUAAAAACAAUUAUCCAGGUUUGAAGGCUGCUUAUAAACUGGACAAUCAUGUGGAAGAUGGAGCAGUGACGAAAGCUUUUGAAGUGAUAGAGAGAAAUUUGUUUAGCUAGAAGUUGUACUGAGGCUAGAAGUUGGUCUUUUUUGGGUUGGCCUUAAUUGCAGUUCUCCUAUAGAUGUGAUUAUGUGACAUUUUUAGGUACAUUUCUGGAUGUAUUUUGCUAUAAGAGUUUCAAAGAUGUGAUCCCUUAUUUUGUGGA